rnacentral:rRNA from 1 species
AGUGAACGCUGGCGGUAGGCCUAACACAUGCAAGUCGAACGGCAGCACAGUAAGAGCUUGCUCUUACGGGUGGCGAGUGGCGGACGGGUGAGGAAUACAUCGGAAUCUACUUUUUCGUGGGGGAUAACGUAGGGAAACUUACGCUAAUACCGCAUACGACCUACGGGUGAAAGCAGGGGAUCUUCGGACCUUGCGCGAUUGAAUGAGCCGAUGUCGGAUUAGCUAGUUGGCGGGGUAAAGGCCCACCAAGGCGACGAUCGGUAGCUGGUCUGAGAGGGUGACAGGCAAGAUGGGGACGGAGAGAAGGCCCAGACUCCGACGGGAGGGAGCAGUGGGGAAUAUUGCAGUAUUGGCGGAAGCCGGAUGCAGCAACGCCGCGUGCGGGAGGACGGCCUGCGGGUCGUAAACAGCUUGCGCCGGUGACGAAGGGUGAGGGACGGGAAUGGGUAAAGAAGCACCGGCUAACGACGUG